rnacentral:rRNA from 1 species
UACGAAGGGGGGCUAGCGUUGUUCGGAAUUACUGGGCGUAAAGCGUGCGCAGGCGGCUUCUCAAGUCAGGGGUGAAAGCCCAGAGCUCAACUCUGGAAUUGCCUUUGAGACUGCGUGGCUUUGAGUACGAGAGAGGUGAGUGGGAAUUCCCAGUGUAGAGGGUGAAAAUUCGUAGAUAUUCGGGAAGAAACACCAGUGGCGAAGGCGGCUCACUGGACUGGUAUUGACGCUGAGGCGGCGAAAAGCUAGGGGGAGCAAACAGGG